rnacentral:rRNA from 1 species
UACGGGGGGGGCGAAGCGUUGUUCGGAAUUACUGGGCGUAAAGGGCUCGUAGGCGGCCAACUAAGUCAGACGUGAAAUCCCUGGGCUCAACCCAGGAACUGCGUCCGAUACUGGAAGGCUUGAAUCCGGGAGAGGGAUGCGGAAUUCCAGGUGUAGCGGUGAAAUGCGUAGAUAUCUGGAGGAACACCGGUGGCGAAGGCGGCAUCCUGGACCGGUAUUGACGCUGAGGCGCGAAAGCCAGGGGAGCAAACGGG